GACGAACCGUGCGAACGUUAUUCGGAAUCACUGGGCUUAAAGCGCGUGUAGGCGGAUGGGAACGUCGGUAGUUGAAAGCCCCCGGCUCAACUGGGGAGGGUCACCGGUAACGGCCGAGCUCUGAGUGCAGGAGAGGGGGAUGGAAUUCCGCGUGUAGCAGUGAAAUGCGUAGAUAUGCGGAGGAACACCGAUGGCGAAGGCAAUCCCCUGGGCCUGCACUGACGCUCAUGCACGAAA
rnacentral:rRNA from 1 species